rnacentral:rRNA from 1 species
UGGGGAAUAUUGGACAAUGGGGGGAACCCUGAUCCAGCGAUGCCGCGUGGGUGAAGAAGGCCUUCGGGUUGUAAAGCCCUUUAGGUUAGGAAGAAGUAAUUGAUCUGAAUAAGGUUGAUUAUUGACGGUACUAACAGAAUAAGCACCGGCAAACUCUGUGCCAGCAGCCGCGGUAAUACAGAGGGUGCGAGCGUUAAUCGGAAUUACUGGGCGUAAAGGGCGCGUAGGCGGUGAGGUAGGUGUGAUGUGAAAGCCCUGGGCUUAACCUAGGAAGUGCAUCACAAACGAUCUGACUGGAGUAUGAGAGAGGGUGGCGGAAUUUCCGGUGUAGCGGUGAAAUGCGUAGAUAUCGGAAGGAACAUCGAUGGCGAAGGCAGCCACCUGGCUUAAUACUGACGCU